UACGAAGGGGGCUAGCGUUGUUCGGAUUUACUGGGCGUAAAGCGCACGUAGGCGGGUCGUUAAGUCAGGGGUGAAAUCCCGGAGCUCAACUCCGGAACUGCCUUUGAUACUGGCGACCUUGAGGCUGGAAGAGGUUAGUGGAAUUCCCAGUGUAGAGGUGAAAUUCGUAGGUAUUGGGAAGAACACCAGUGGCGAAGGCGGCUAACUGGUCCAGAUCUGACGCUGAGGUGCGAAAGCGUGGGGAGCAAACAGG
rnacentral:rRNA from 1 species